GAAAUGUCUUCAGGACAGAUGGGGGAUGCACACUUGUGAAUAAAUCUCCAGCGAGCACAUUAACGUGCCUGAAGUGCGUGGUCCUCUCCCUACUCAAUACCUACUCUGCCACCUCAUUUUUGCAGUUACUGGUAAUACCCCUGCUAUCAGGGAGAUAUUUUCCUCUGACACAUGGAACAAUAGUUCUGAAGAUAGCCAAGAAAUCCAGUUCACGUGCCUUUGCCCCUCUCUGCAGGGUGAACCCAAGUGCAGUAUUUGGGGAUCCUUGGGAUGCUGUCUUUAAAGUGUUUGUCUGAUUUGAACUAUCACUAAUUCAAACUCACCAUCUGUUAUCUCUGCUCUGCAUGCAGCAGAUCUACUGAACUCAGCAUUGUUUGGGAACCUCAGGGGACUGUGUUUCAUUGCCAGGUGAUGAAAUCCCAGAAAAUAAGAAAAUUGAAACUAAAACAGGAAACCAGAAUGGCAUGUGGUAUGGUCACUCUGCAGGGGAAGAGUAAAGCCUGGCAACAGUUGUGUUUAGAAAUGAAAUCUGUUUCAGCUGCAAAGUUGAUAGCAAUCAUGUGCACAAGGUUACAUGAAAAGUCCUUGUUCUUGUUAACUUUUUGGCUGCUCUGGUGUCUGUAGGCUUCAUGGGGGGAUUGCAGGGAAGGGGUUAAGUCCUUCUCUUUAGUAGAAGAGAGGCCGCAGCUGCAUGCCCUAAGCACUUGGGGUGGUGGGGUAAGGACAGCUGUCACGAAUUACAGGAUUCCCUUACACACUAUAAAAUGCCUUCUCUCGAGCAAGCCUGUUUGGCUGAAAAUAGGGAGUGUGGAGGCUGGACUUGGUAAGGAAGGGGGAGAAGAUCAUGCUUACUUGCUACAUCCCCUUUUUAUUCCAGAUGAGGAUGUUUGGUGUUAGGGAAGGAGGUUGGGAUCCACCUGGGUGCUUGCAUGUGCAAGCAGAAGCAGGUUUUUGGAAGCACUCUGGUAUCAUGGAGCUCCAUGAGAUGCAACAGGAGAGGCAAAAGGAAUGGAAAAGCCAUUUGAGACUGCUCCUGGCAGCACUGCAGGAUCUGCAAAGCCACAGGAAAGUCGGGAGGGUACUGAAGGAGGAGCAGCCUGCGCAGGAACCGCAGCAGUGGGAAGCACAGGCUGGCAGCGACAGCAUCCGGGGAGGUCUCUGUGCUAUGAGGAGAGCAGCAGGGAUGAAAUGCACUAACCCUUCUCAAGGAUGGCUGCUGGGUAUCCUGGAGGGCUAUGUUGGAGCAGGCUGCUGCACACUGAGGUCUGUCUGUACCUCGGUGGAUCCCUCACCAGCCCUUCAAGUCAGACAAGAUCUGCAGCAAAGUCCUAAUGGCUACACUCAGGCUUUCUCCAGCAUAAUUUGCCAGUGUCUAAACGUAUGUAAAAUAAGUUCUGAUGACACCUUUCCUUAUGAAUUAGCAGGUCUUGCUGACACAAAUCAGGAACUCAAUACAAUAUUCAGCAAGCACAUUAAAUCUCCUUCUAACAUGCUGCAUGCUGAGACACUCUUCGUUAUUACCUUAAAGUACCAGAAGCUGGAAAAAUGCCAGCUUCUCCCCUCUGAUGGCAACAACAAUGACAUAGACAGAAAUAAUUAGCUCUCUGCUACUCAGCUGGUGUGGAUGCUGCUGCUCUUCAAAGCACGUUUCUCUCCCUUUAGCUGCUAUGCAGAAAUCCUUGAUAAUUAAUCAGCUCUUGGUGACACUGAAACACUAAUAAAUCCUCAAGAGUUGCAUUUAAUGUGUUGUGC
ensembl:lncRNA